CUUAAAGUCAUCAUAGUUCAGAAACUUUGUCACCUUCUGAAGGAAACCACAAAGUGCAUGAGAGGUUGGGGGCGUGAGGCUUGAAAGUCUAUGCGUCUCUCUACUCUCCACAUCCCAUUUUGUGGCUGGUGCUCCUCUGGUGUGCUGUUAUGAACUCAAACGAUGCAGUUAAGACAAAACACGUUGUUGUUGGUACUGCAGUGGUGUGUACUUGUCUGCAGUGACCGGCUGCAGGAUGGAGACAUACAAGAGCAUCGCCUGCCCUGUGUCUCCAAUGAAACUACUGUUACAUGCAGCUUGUCUGAAGAGGCCCUAAAAGGGUUUCAGACAGUAAGGCUGGAGGUCCUGGUAGGACAGGUCGCUGAAAUUCACUUUACACCUUUGGGAAACAGUUCUGGAAAUUCUACUCCAUGCUUCUGGGCACAAAGGGAAACUGUGAGUAUGCUUCCAUUCCAGCACUUUACAAGAGACAUGGGUGGAGUGUACCCUGCUGUGUGUAGCAGUGGUAGUUCCAACCACUCUGUGAACAUCUCAGUCCACAUAAUCUCACCAAACAAGGGUCCAACGAUUCCACGGAUACAAAUUAUUGAGAAACAAUUUCACACAGUUGACUUUAAAUGUGUUUCAAAGGGAAAUCCAAAACCAACAAUUAAAUGGUAUUCAGGAGACAAAUAUAUCAAGUAAGUUUUAAACACAGCCUCCAAUUUGAUGAAAUAUAAAGUUAUAGCAUGGAUCUGUGGAUA
rnacentral:lncRNA from 1 species